rnacentral:rRNA from 1 species
GUAUACAGCCAUGACACCCUGAACAAGCCUGAUCUCGCAAGCUAAGCAGGGUCGGGCCUGGUUACUACUUGGAUGGGAGACCACCUAGGAAGACCAGGUGCUGUAGGCG